UGUUUUUAUCUAACAUACCUUUUGUCAGAUAUCAUAAUUCCAUAGCUUUCAUUCUUCUUCACAUUAGUGUGUAUCUGAACUUUCAAUGCAAAAUGAAACUGACUGUUUAAUUCUUAUAGCUAUGUUAACUAAAACUGAUGUACAUACCUAUUAAAUUUGAGUCAAUGAUAACUAAACCUUCAUAGUUGCUUAACAGGUAAUUCUAAAGUAAAUAAACUAAGAUAUUUUAUAAUUUCCUAAUACUGACAUUUGGCAUCUAUCAAGCUUAAGAAUUCAAAUCUUAUUAUCCUUUGAGAAUGUAAAGAAGUCAGUAGCUGAUAAGCCCUCUACAGUUAAUAGCUAAUAGUGUUAACAGUUGGGAUGGCAACUGUGUAAGACCAAACACCCUGGAAAGGAAUUUAAUUUUUAAACUAUCUGAAAUUAUUUCUCACAUUUUAAAAAAAUGCACUCUUUAUAAAAACCCUCAGUGUAUGCAUUCUUUAUGUUGGUUUCAAAUUAUUUUAAAUUUCUUUUCUUAUAAAAGAUAUACUAUAACUCCAUAUAAUGUUGGAACACAUUAGUUCUACUUAAAAAAUAAAUGUCAGAUUGCUACCUGUUAAGUGUUAGAUAAGCAGGGUACAAUCAAAAUAACCACAGAAUCUAGAUAAAGAAUAAAGGUCUGGGGGAGGUUAUGAUCACUCUAGGAAGCGGAAAUAGAAUAGCUGUUAUGGAUAGACAGGCAAUGUGAGAUCCUGGAAUCAGAGGUUCAAACAGAGAAAAGGGGAUAAGACAGGCUGAGGGAGAGAAUACAGAGAGGGCAAACUAAAACUGAGUACCAUUUGAGGAAUCUUAUGGAAACAUAACCCAGUUGAAGCUUUCUAAAUAUCUACUUAUAUGCAGGUGAUAUAAAUGGGAUCACAAAAUAAUAGAGAUGUAGCCCAACAUGAAAUCUAUCACCCAAAGAAGCUCCCAGUAGUGAGAAUAGGGGUGGGUUACUUUUAGUCAACUUGUUGGGCAAGGGAGCCUGAUGGAAAACCCCAAAUGACUCAGGCUUUUGGCAACAUUAAUGGUUGCUCUUCAAAAGCUGAUAGCAAGACCCUAUUGCUGAAAUUGACACCUACAGAACUCAAUGAACAUGGGAAGUUGAGCCCGUACCUAUCUAGAGCCUUGUUCCCUAUUGGCUAGUGUUCAGGGGACUGUAAGGCACUCUACUCUGCAGGCUACCAAAGGAGAAAGGUGAGCAGAGACCCAGCUACAAACCCUGCUAUCUGCAAGUGUAAACUGCCUGCAAGAGGCACUAGAUCAACAGUAACAAAAGCUUGCAGGAAUCACCAACAAACAUCUCACUGGAUUUAAAGUCCAAUCCACAAUUGUAGAGCCCAUCACUGAUACAGCUGGGAUGAUCAAGAAUGUGAGAAGAGAGGCCAGGGACCUAAGGGCAAACCACACACUUCUGUUCUGUUUAAUGGACAUUGCCGCAAAGUGACUCCUAACGAUGUUCUGCUAGACUCCUAGAUCAGUGCCUUCUCAGCCACCAUCAAAGAGGCUUCCUCCGCUAGCAUAUAUGAACAUGUACAGAGACCCACAGCUGGACUGUUUGCAGAAAGUGAGAGACCUUGGAAUGCUCAGUACCCAGUGGGGAUGUCUCCAUUGAAUACCUACUGUCAGAGUUCAGAGAACUCUGUGAAAAAGGAGAUAGAAAAAUGUGAUUGUCAAUAUUAAAAAAGAAUGGAAUGAAUCCAGCCACCUCUCUUCUGAUUUGUGGUGGGUAGCCAUCCCAGCAUUG